rnacentral:rRNA from 1 species
UACGUAGGGGGGCAAGCGUUGUCCGGAUUUAUUGGGCGUAAAGAGCGUGUAGGCGGCCAGGUAGGUCAGCUGUGAAAACUCGAGGCUCAACCUCGAGACGCCGGUUGAAACCAUCUGGCUAGAGUCCGGAAGAGGAGAGUGGAAGUUCCUGGUGUAGCGGUGAAAUGACGCAGAUAUCAGGAAGAACACCCGUGGCUAAGGCGGCUCUCUAGUACGGUACUGACGCUGAGACGCGAAAGCGUGGGGAGCGAACAGG